rnacentral:lncRNA from 1 species
UAAGGUUGCUCUACUAUUUAUCUAAAGGAUAUAGAUUUAAAAUAUGAAAAUAGCCUUUCCACGUGAGACUAGUGCGAUGUGCAUCUAUCCUACCCAAACCCUGCGAUAGCAGGAGCCUCAUGCACUAGGCUUGUAAUUAAGCUACUAAGCUUAAAAAUCAUGAUCUAUUCACAUGACCGCAUAUGCACUUACUAAAUCAAUCUUCAUUCAAGUGAAACUACA